rnacentral:rRNA from 1 species
UGGGGAAUUUUGGACAAUGGGCGCAAGCCUGAUCCAGCAAUGCCGCGUGCAGGAUGAAGGCCUUCGGGUUGUAAACUGCUUUUGUACGGAGCGAAAAGGUCUGCCCUAAUACGGUGGGCUCAUGACGGUACCGUAAGAAUAAGCACCGGCUAACUACGCGCCAGCAGCCGCGGUAAUACGUAGGGUGCGAGCGUUAAUCGGAAGUACUGGGCGUAAAGCGUGCGCAGGCGGUUAUGCAAGACAGAGGUGAAAUCCCCGGGCUCAACCUGGGAACUGCAUUUGUGACUGCAUAGCUGGAGUGCGGCAGAGGGGGAUGGAAUUCCGCGUGUAGCAGUGAAAUGCGUAGAUAUGCGGAGGAACACCGAUGGCGAAGGCAAUCCCCUGGACCUGUACUGACGCUCAUGCACGAAAGCGUGGGGAGCAAACA